GUCCACCUUUGGAGGGAAGCUUCUCGCUGAGACAGGCUGGGCCAACCCAGGAACUCUCUUGGAGACUCAGCCUUAAACCUUACCCUCAAGUCAACAGAGACGUUUCAGCAAUGUCAGGAAAGACGCUUGUGAGCUGUGUUUGCUCUUCCAAAGCUCUUCCUUCUCCACAGCCAUGUAUUAAUACCCAGUGCUACUAAGCUCACUUGCUUUAC
rnacentral:lncRNA from 1 species